rnacentral:rRNA from 1 species
UCUCGUGACUGCGUGCCUUUUGAAGAAUGAGCCUGCGAGUUUGCGGUGUGUUGCGAGGUUAACCCGUGUGGGGAAGCCGUAGCGAAAGCGAGUCCGAAUAGGGCGGUUCAGUAGCGCGCUCAAGACCCGAAGCGGAGUGAUCUAGCCAUGGGCAGGUUGAAGCGGAGGUAAGACUUCGUGGAGGACCGAACCCACCAGGGUUGAAAACCUGGGGGAUGACCUGUGGUUAGGGGUGAAAGGCCAAUCAAACUCCGUGAUAGCUGGUUCUCCCCGAAAUGCAUUUAGGUGCAGCGUCGUGUGUUUCUUGCCGGAGGUAGAGCACUGGAUAGGCGAUGGGCCCUACCGGGUUACUGACCUUAGCCAAACUCCGAAUGCCGGUAAGUGAGAGCGCGGCAGUGAGACUGUGGGGGAUAAGCUCCAUGGUCGAGAGGGAAACAGCCCAGAGCAUCGACUAAGGCCCCUAAGCGUACGCUAAGUGGGAAAGGAUGUGGAGUCGCAGAGACAACCAGGAGGUUGGCUUAGAAGCAGCCACCCUUGAAAGAGUGCGUAAUAGCUCACUGGUCUAGUGAUUCCGCGCCGACAAUGUAGCGGGGCUCAAGCGUACCGCCGAAGUCGUGUCAUUGCGAUAUGUACCCCCAACGGGGAUCGUGAUGGGUAGGGGAGCGUCGUGUGCCGGGUGAAGCAGCACCGGAAGGUAGUUGUGGACGGUUCACGAGUGAGAAUGCAGGCAUGAGUAGCGAUUCACACGUGAGAAACGUGUGCGCCGAUUGACUAAGGGUUCCUGGGUCAAGCUGAUCUGCCCAGGGUAAGUCGGGACCUAAGGCGAGGCCGACAGGCGUAGUCGAUGGAUAACCGGUUGAUAUUCCGGUACCCGCUGUGAAGCGUCAAACAUCGAACCAGGCGAUGCUAAGUCCGUGAAGCCGUUCCGGACCCUUCGGGGAAAGGAAAGUGGUGGAGCCGACGAACCAGACUUGCAGUAGGUGAGUGAUGGGGUGACGCAGGAAGGUAGUCCAGCCCGGGCGGUGGUUGUCCCGGGGUAAGGGUGUAGGCCGGUGUGUAGGUAAAUCCGCACACCUUGUGGCUGAGACCUGAUGCCGAGCCGAUUGUGGUGAAGUGGAUGAUCCUAUGCUGUCGAGAAAAGCCUCUAGCGAGUUUCAUGGCGGCCCGUACCCUAAACCGACUCAGGUGGUCAGGUAGAGAAUACCGAGGCGUUCGGGUGAACUAUGGUUAAGGAACUCGGCAAAAUGCCCCCGUAACUUCGGGAGAAGGGGGGCCACACCUGGUGAGAGUACUUGCUGCUCGAGCUGGGGGUGGCCGCAGAGACCAGCGAGAAGCGACUGUUUACUAAAAACACAGGUCCGUGCGAAGCCGUAAGGCGAUGUAUACGGACUGACGCCUGCCCGGUGCUGGAACGUUAAGGGGACCGGUUAGUCAUUCUUCGGGAUGGCGAAGCUGAGAACUUAAGCGCCAGUAAACGGCGGUGGUAACUAUAACCAUCCUAAGGUAGCGAAAUUCCUUGUCGGGUAAGUUCCGACCUGCACGAAUGGCGUAACGACUUCUCGACUGUCUCAACCAUAGGCCCGGUGAAAUUGCACUACGAGUAAAGAUGCUCGUUUCGCGCAGCAGGACGGAAAGACCCCGGGACCUUUACUACAGUUUGAUAUUGGUGUUCGGUUCGGCUUGUGUAGGAUAGGUGGGAGACUUUGAAGCGGGCACGCCAGUGUUCGUGGAGUCGUCGUUGAAAUACCACUCUGGUCGUGCUGGAUGUCUAACCUGGGUCCGUGAUCCGGAUCAGGGACAGUGUCUGAUGGGUAGUUUAACUGGGGCGGUUGCCUCCUAAAGAGUAACGGAGGCGCCCAAAGGUUCCCUCAGCCUGGUUGGCAAUCAGGUGUUGAGUGUAAGUGCACAAGGGAGCUUGACUGUGAGACCGACGGGUCGAGCAGGGACGAAAGUCGGGACUAGUGAUCCGGCGGUGGCUUGUGGAAGCGCCGUCGCUCAACGGAUAAAAGGUACCCCGGGGAUAACAGGCUGAUCUUCCCCAAGAGUCCAUAUCGACGGGAUGGUUUGGCACCUCGAUGUCGGCUCGUCGCAUCCUGGGGCUGGAGUCGGUCCCAAGGGUUGGGCUGUUCGCCCAUUAAAGCGGUACGCGAGCUGGGUUUAGAACGUCGUGAGACAGUUCGGUCCCUAUCCGCUGUGCGCGUAGGAGUCUUGAGAAGGGCUGUCCCUAGUACGAGAGGACCGGGACGGACGAACCUCUGGUGUGCCAGUUGUUCUGCCAAGGGCAUGGCUGGUUGGCUACGUUCGGGAGGGAUAACCGCUGAAAGCAUCUAAGCGGGAAGCCUGCUUCGAGAUGAGGACUCCCACCCACUUGAUGGGGUAAGGCUCCCAGUAGACGACUGGGUUGAUAGGCCGGAUCUGGAAGCACGGUAACGUGUGGAGGUGACCGGUACUAAUAGGCCGAGGGCUUGUCCUCAGUUG